rnacentral:rRNA from 1 species
GAUGAACGCUGGCGGCGUGCUUAACACAUGCAAGUCGAGCGGAAAGGCCAUGCUUUUGUGGGGUGCUCGAGUGGCGCACGGGUGAGUAACACGUGAGUAACCUGCCCUUGUAUUUGGGAUAAAUUCAGGAAACUGGGGCUAAUAUCGGAUAGGAGCUCCUGCUGCAUGGUGGGGGUUGGAAAGUUUCGGCGGUUGGGGAUGGACUCGCGGCUUAUCAGCUUGUUGGUGGGGUAGUGGCAUACCAAGGCUUUGACGGGUAGCCCGCCUGAGAGGGGGAACGGCGACCAGAGGACUGAGGGACGGCCCAGACUGCAACCGGAGGCAGCGGGGGAGAAUAUGGCGCAACGGGCAGAAGCCUGAUGCAGCGGCGCCGCGUGCGUAAUGACGGCUUUCGAGUGGUAAACCGCUUUCGCAUGUGACAAAGCGGGAGUGACGGUAAUUAGUAAAGAAGCACCGGCUAACUACGUG